GCCGACUUAGCUCAGUUGGUAGAGCAACGCACUCGUAACGCGUAGGUCGCCAGUUCGAUCCCGGCAGUCGGCACCA
rnacentral:tRNA from 9 species